rnacentral:rRNA from 1 species
UGUCGUCAGCUCGUGUCGUGAGAUGUUGGGUUAAGUCCCGCAACGAGCGCAACCCUUACUGUUAGUUGCUACGCAAGAGCACUCUAGCAGGACUGCCGUUGACAAAACGGAGGAAGGUGGGGACGACGUCAAAUCAUCAUGCCCCUUAUGACCUGGGCUACACACGUACUACAAUGGCCGUUAACAGAGAGAAGCGAUACCGCGAGGUGGAGCGAACCUCAAAAAGCGGUCUCAGUUCGGAUCGCAGGCUGCAACCCGCCUGCGUGAAGCUGGAAUUGCUAGUAAUCGCGGAUCAUCAUGCCGCGGUGAAUACGUUCCCGGGA